rfam:Staphylococcus cohnii subsp. cohnii strain 073AN genome assembly, contig: ERS576551SCcontig000010
AAUUAAUUUUAAAAUAAUGUUGAUUUUGUAAUGACAUUAUGGUAUAUUUAAUAGGUAGGCGUCAUUAAUAAUAUUAACGCGGGAUGGAGCAGUUCGG